rnacentral:rRNA from 1 species
UGGGGAAUAUUGGACAAUGGGCGCAAGCCUGAUCCAGCCAUGCCGCGUGAGUGAUGACGGCCUUAGGGUUGUAAAGCUCUUUCGCACGCGACGAUAAUGACGGUAGCGUGAGAAGAAGCCCCGGCUAACUUCGUGCCAGCAGCCGCGGUAAUACGAAGGGGGCUAGCGUUGUUCGGAAUCACUGGGCGUAAAGGGUGCGUAGGCGGAUUCUUAAGUCAGGGGUGAAAUCCCGAGGCUCAACCUCGGAACUGCCUUUGAUACUGGGGAUCUUGAGUCCGGAAGAGGUGAGUGGAACUGCGAGUGUAGAGGUGAAAUUCGUAGAUAUUCGCAAGAACACCGGUGGCGAAGGCGGCUCACUGGUCCGGAACUGACGCUGAGGCACGACAGCGUGGGGAGCAAACA